CGGACACAGUCAGAUCUUUCAGCCAAACAUACACGGAUCGCUUUGUCCACGAUGAAGAUCUCUUAUCUCCUUGUUGUGUUUUUGUUGGGAUCUUUGCUUGCAUUUGACAUGACAGGCGCACAUCGUCAUCGCCGAUGUCGUCGCCAUCGCCAUAGACGUCACCGUCGUCAUCGACACCAUGGUUGACUUGCAGAUGCCUACGCAAUGUGUAACUUGCCAUGAUCUUCGUCAGAAAAUAUAACUCUGCCUUCAGUUCGGAUUACGUUGAUGUACAUAUCAAUCAAUAAAUAGAGUGA